UGGGGAAUCUUGGACAAUGGGCGCAAGCCUGAUCCAGCCAUGCCGCGUGGAUGAUGAAGGCCUUAGGGUUGUAAAAUCCUUUCGCCGAGGACGAUAAUGACGGUACUCGGAGAAGAAGCUCCGGCUAACUUCGUGCCAGCAGCCGCGGUAAUACGAAGGGGGCUAGCGUUGUUCGGAUUUACUGGGCGUAAAGCGCGUGUAGGCGGGUCGUUAAGUUGGGGGUGAAAUCCCGAGGCUCAACCUCGGAACUGCCUUCAAAACUGGCGACCUGGACCUAAGUAGAGGCAAGUGGAAUUGCGAGUGUAGAGGUGAAAUUCGUAGAUAUUCGCAGGAACACCAGUGGCGAAGGCGACUUGCUGGACUUAUGGUGACGCUGAGACGCGAAAGCGUGGGGAGCAAACAGGAUUAGAUACCCUAGUAGUCCCUGAGCGGGCUGGCAAGGCGCAU
rnacentral:rRNA from 1 species